UACAGAGGUCCCAAGCGUUGUUCGGAUUCACUGGGCGUAAAGGGUGCGUAGGUGGCGUGGUAAGUUUGAUGUGAAAGCUCAGGGCUUAACCCUGAAAUGGCAUUGAAUACUACUGUGCUGGAGGUUUGGAGGGGGGACUGGAAUUCUUGGUGUAGCAGUGAAAUGCGUUAGAUAUCAAGAGGAACACCAGUGGCGAAGGCGAGUCCCCUGGACAACACCUGACACUGAGGCACGAAAGCUAGGGGAGCAAACAGG
rnacentral:rRNA from 1 species